rnacentral:sRNA from 1 species
ACUAGGAGUGGUGGCGCACACCUGUAAUCCCCAGAACUCAGGAGGCUGAGACAGGAGGAUCCCAAGUGAGGCCAGCCUUAUCAACUUUGCUAGACCCUGUCUCAA